UGAGCUGCCGGAGCGUGCGCACUGGGCCAGCGGGCGGCCGGGGCAGGGCUGGGGUCCCGGCGCUGAGCGCCCCCAGCCGCGCCGGGCAGCCUGGCGCCUCGCUGAGUCGGAGCAACCCCCGGCAGGAGCUUUCAGGCUCUGGUCAAGCCUCGGGACCCGGGAAGCUAUCCCUGCCCUCGGGGGCUCGAGCCUGGAGUGGGGCUUGCAGGUAAAGCGGGGCUGGGGCCGUCCUGGCCGUCAGUGGUCAGGAAGACGCAGCGACCCCGGAGAUCCAUGUCCCCCUCUGUACGCAUGAGAGGUCUGAAGGUCAGAGGUUAAAGCGCACGCUAACGGCGGCAGAGCCAGCAAGCGGCAGAGCUGGGCGGAUGCCAGCCUAGGGAGCCUCCCCCCACCAGCCCAGGCUGCCCCCAGCAAAGCCACAUCAGCAGGUCAUAGCCAAAUGAAAGAUGUGCUGUCGAGCUGAGACUUGGGAGGGGCAGGACUCAGCUGGGCAAACAUUCAUUCAGUGUCAUUAGACAAAUAUUUAUUGAGCACUUGCUGUGUGCCAGGUAGUCACUAAGAUGUGGGGACACCACAGUGAACAGCAGAGAGGAAGCGGCUGCCCACCAGAGCUUACUUUCUAGCAAGGAGAAGGCAGGGAAGAGCACCCACCAAAGGGAGCAGCAUGGGGGAACACCCUGACUGCUGUGAACGGGACAUAUUUGAGAAUCUGAUAAAAGUAUCUGGGCCACAGAAUGGUGAGAGGGAGUGUGUGGAAGAUGGGGGGCGGGGGCACAGAGGGGCAGCACUUGCAAGGUCUUGCAGGCUGGCGAGAGUUUGGAGACUGUCUCACCUGGAAGGUGGUCCCAUGGACCAUUGUCAGAUUGAUAUUUUUUAAAGUGCAUCAGUCAGGAUAAGCUAUGUUAGCCACAGUAACAACCAAACCCAAAUCUCCCUGGUGUGUCUUGCCCACAUCAUACAUCCUGCCUCGGUCAAUGGGGCUCUGUUCAUCAGAGUGGUUGGGAGCCCAAGCUGCUGGGGCUGUCUGCCAGCCGAGCACCCACAUGGUGCAGCAAUGUGAAUGAAAGGUGACAAUUAUGCUGGCUUUGAAGGCUUCCUCCCCGAAGGGACUCUCGUCACUUCUGCUCACGUUUCAUUGGCCAGAGCAGGUCACAUGGCCAUGCCUAACUUCAGAAGAGGAGGAAGUGCAGACCUCUAAGGUUCAGGGGGUCAGGAGGAACUAGGAUAUCUGUGAGCAGAUGUGAGACUAUCUUUAGCAGAUGCCCUGGCUGCCCUUGGGGCAUGGGCUGAAGUAGUCAAGAGUGGGGACAAGGAGGCAGUGUGGGGGCCUCCUCCACGCUGAUACAGUGAAGUAUCAGCGCAUCAGAGCAAUCUGGGUGCAGAAUUGGCAGGACAUGCUCACGGCUUGGACGUGGACAGGAGGGAGGGAGGGACAAUCAGGGACAAUGCCCAGGUAUCCUGGGAUGAAUUGUGUUCCCCCCACCCACCCCCUCAAAAAAAAAAACUCGUAUGUUGAAGUGCUCACUCCCAGGACCUCAGAAUAUGACCUUACUUGGAAAUAGGGUCGUUGUAGAUGUAAUUAGCUAAGAUGAGGUCACAAUGGAGUAGGUUGGAUUCCUAAUCCAGUCUGCCUUCUAUCCUUAUAAAAGGGGGAAAUUGGAUACAGAGACACAAGCAACGGGAGCAUGCCGUGUGAACAUGAAGGUAGAGAUCAGGUCGAGGCAUCAGCUAGCCAAGGAAAUGCCAAAGAUGGGAGCAAACCCCCGGAAGCCAUGAGAGCGGCCUGGGACAGAUCCUUCCCCAGGGCUUCAUAGGGAGCGUGGACCAGCUGACACCUGAUUUCAGACUUCUAGCUUACAGAAGUGAGACAGUGCAUUUCUGUUGUUUAAAAAGCCCAGCUGGUGGUACUUCGAUACAUGUGUGUAGAUUAAGGGUUAUGUCUGGCUGUGAGUAAUCGGGAUCACAACUAGACAGCGGCUUAAACAGAUUUUUAUUCUCUCUUAACAAGAAAUGCAAAGGCAAGCUGUUCCUCACUUUAUCCUCUCUCACUCCUUCACCCUCAGGAUGUAAUUUUCUUUUUCAAAAUGUCUUCUACGUGGCAAGUUGGCUGCCUCUUCCCAGACAUCUCAUCACUAUUCCAGUCAAGAAGGGGAAGAACAAAAGGCAUACCCACACUAGGUCAGCUCCACUUCACCGCUUUCCUGAAAACUCUCCCCAGAGAGCUCUGUUUUAUCUCAUUGGCUGGGACGGUGUCUCAUGGCCAGCCCUGGCUUCAGAGGAGGCUGGGAGUAUUGUUAUUAUUUUUUAAGAUGGUGUCUUGCUCUGUUGUCCAGUUUGGAGUGCAAUGGCGUGAUCUUGGCUCAUUGCAACCUCCGCCUCCCGGGUUCAAGUGAUUCUCCUGCCUCAGCCUCUCAAGUAGCUGGGAUUACAGGCCCACACCACCACACCCAGCUAAUUUUUGUAUUUUUAGUAGAGAUGGAGUUUUGCCAUGUUGGCCAAGCUGGUCUCAAACUGCAGAC
rnacentral:lncRNA from 1 species